rnacentral:rRNA from 1 species
UCAAGUUAUUAAGGGUGCAGGGCGAAUGCCUUGGCACUAGGAGCCGAUGAAGGACGUGAUAAGCUGCGAUAAGCUUCGGGGAGUUGCACGUAAACUUUGAUCCGAAGAUUUCCGAAUGAGGAAACUCACUUAGAGUAAUGUCUAAGUAUCGUAUGAUGAAUACAUAGUCAUGCGAGGGGAACCCGGAGAACUGAAACAUCUAAGUACCCGGAGGAAGAGAAAGAAAUUCGAUUCCGUAAGUAGCGGCGAGCGAACGCGGAACAGGCCAAACCAGUGAAGUUUUCUUCGCUGGGGUUGCGGACAUAUCAUAACGAAGAGGUAUCGUAGAAGAAGAGAGUUGGAAAGCUCCGCCACAGAUGGUAACAGCCCAGUAUUUUAAACGAGAAGACUUUAGAUAUGAUCCAGAGUACCACGGGACACGUGAAACCCUGUGGGAAGCAGGAGGGACCAUCCUCCAAGCCUAAAUACUACCUAGUGACCGAUAGCGUAUAGUACCGUGAGGGAAAGGUGAAAAGAACCCCGGGAGGGGAGUGAAAGAGAACCUGAAACCCUGCACUUACAAGCUGUAGGAGCACAUUAUUUGUGUGACUGCGUACUUUUUGUAGAACGGGCCAACGAGUUACGUUGUGUAGCAAGGUUAAGCACUUAAGGUGUGGAGCCGUAGCGAAAGCGAGUCUUAAAUGGGCGUCCAGUUACCCGACGUAGACCCGAAACCAGGCGACCUAUCCAUGAGCAGGUUGAAGCGAAAGUAAAAUUUCGUGGAGGACCGAACCCACGUACGUUGAAAAGUGCGGGGAUGACUUGUGGAUAGCGGUGAAAUUCCAAUCGAGCCUGGAGAUAGCUGGUUCUCCCCGAAAUAGCUUUAGGGCUAGCCUCAAGCUUAGAGAAACGGAGGUAGAGCACUGAAUGUCCUAGGGGGUAUUGCACUUACCGAAGACUAUCAAACUCCGAAUGCCGUAUUCUUUUGCUUGGGAGUCAGACUAUGGGUGAUAAGAUUCAUAGUCAAGAGGGCAACAGCCCAGAUCGUCAGCUAAGGUCCCUAAAUGUAAGUUAAGUGGUAAAGGAUGUGGAAUUGCACAGACAACCAGGAUGUUGGCUUAGAAGCAGCCACUCAUUUAAAGAGUGCGUAAUAGCUCACUGGUCGAGUGAUUCUGCGCCGAAAAUUUCCGGGGCUAAAACUUACUACCGAAGCUACGGCAUCAUUAUGAUGGGUAGGGGAGCUUUCUAUGUGGCUUGAAGCAUGACCGUAAGGACAUGUGGACUGCAUAGAAGUGAGAAUGUUGGCAUGAGUAGCGAGAUGUGGGUGAGAAUCCCACAGGCCGUAAACCCAAGGUUUCCAGGGGAAGGUUCGUCCGCCCUGGGUUAGUCAGGACCUAAGCCGAGGCCGAAAGGCGUAGGUGAUGGACAACAGGUUGAUAUUCCUGUACCACCAAUAACCGUUUGAGAAAUGGGAUGACACAGUAGGAUAAGCUAACCGCACUGUUGGUUAUGUGCGGGCAAGUAUUGAGGCAGUUCCGAUAGGCAAAUCCGUCGGAAUAAUGCUGGGGUACGAUGCGGAGCGAAAUUUAGUAGCGAAGUAGCUGAUUUCACACUGUCGAGAAAAGUCUCUAUCGAGGUUAAAGGUGCCUGUACCGCAAACCGACACAGGUGGGUGAGGAGAGUAUCCUAAGGCCAGCGAGAGAACUGUUGUUAAGGAACUCGGCAAAAUGACCCCGUAACUUAGGGAGAAGGGGUGCCUUCGAAAGAAGGCCGCAGAGAAUAGGCCCAAGCGACUGUUUACCAAAAACAUAGGUUUCUGCUAAGUCGCAAGACGAUGUAUAGGAGCUGACGCCUGCCCGGUGCUGGAAGGUUAAGGGGAUCUGUUAGAGCAAUCGAAGCAGUGAACUUAAGCCCCAGUAAACGGCGGCCGUAACUAUAACGGUCCUAAGGUAGCGAAAUUCCUUGUCGGGUAAGUUCCGACCCGCACGAAAGGCGUAAUGAUUUG